AGAAGAGGAAGAAGAAAAGAAGAAAAAGAAGAAGAAGAAUGCGUGUGGUGGAAGGUGCAGCAGAUUAGUGUCAGAGCAUUUCCAAACUGAGCAGAAAGGUCACGGCAGCACUGGGAAGUCAGGAAGCGAAAAGGCGAGAG